GACGAACGCUGGCGGCGUGCAUAACACAUGCAGGUGGAGCGACCUGCGGGGCCUUCGGGCCUCAAUCACGCAGGGAGCCGCGAACGGGUGAGUAACACGUGGGCAAUCUGCCCCGUCGAUUGGGAUAGCCCGGGGAAACCCGGAUUAAUACCGAAUGUGAUCGCCUCCCUGGGGGGAGGCGAGGAAAGGAAGCUUCUUUUAUAGCCUCCGCGAUGGGAUGAGCCCGCGACCGAUUAGCUUGUUGGUGGGGUGAAGGCCUACCAAGGCGACGAUCGGUAGCUGGUCUGAGAGGACGAUCAGCCACACUGGGACUGAGACACGGCCCAGACUCCUACGGGAGGCUGCAGUGGGGAAUCUUGCGCAAUGAGCGAAAGCUUGACGCAGCAACGCCGCGUGAGGGAAGAAGGCCUUCGGGUUGUAAACCUCUUUCAGGGAAGAGUAAGGCUCGUGAGUUAAGAGCUCACCGGGUUGAAAGUAUUCCCAGAAGAAGGACCGGCCAACUACAUGCCAGCAGCCGCCGUAA
rnacentral:rRNA from 1 species